UUCGGGAGAGACCUCAGCUACUGUCUCUCCGGAAUGUAUGACCACAGAUACGGCGACAGUGAGUUCACAGUGCAGAGCACCACAGGCCACUGUGUCCAUAUGAGGGGUCUGCCGUACAAAGCGACCGAGAACGACAUUUACAACUUCUUCUCUCCUCUCAAUCCUGUGAGUCCAUAUUGAGAUCGGCCCAGAUGGAACAGUGAUGGGUGAAGCAGAUGUUCAGUUUGCUACUCAUGAAGAAGCUGUCGCAGCCAUGUCCAAAGACAGGGCCAACAUGCAACACAGAUACAUAGAACUCUUCUUGAAUUCGACAACAGGGGCCAGCAAUGGGGCAUAUAGCAGCCAGGUGAUGCAAGGCAUGGGGGUGUCUGCUGCCCAGGUCACUUAUAGUGGCCUGGAGAGCCAGUCAGUGAGCGGCUGUUAUGGGGCCGGCCACAGUGGGCAGAACAGCAUGGGUGGAUAUGACUAGUUUUGUUAGGAACAUUUGAGUUAUUUCUAUCAAAUUUUACACAGGCAGCCAACAAGCAGUUAAGAGGAGUUAUAAUAGAGGAAGCUGUGGGACCCAUUUUGCACCAUGAGUUUGUGAAAUCUGGAUUAAAAAAAUUACCUCUUCAGUGUUUCUCAUGCAAAAUUUUCUUCUAGCAUGUGAUAAUAAGUAAACUAAAACUAUUUUCAGCUUUUCUCAAUUAACAUUUUGGUAGUAUACUUCAGAGUGAUGUUAUCUGAGUUUAAGUAGUUUAAGUAUGUUAAAUGUGGACCUUUUACACCACAUCACUGAACACACUGGGGAGACAUGCUUUUUUGGAAAACUCAAAGGUGCUAGCUCCCUGAUUCAAAAAAAUAUUUCUCAUGUUUGUUCAUUCUAGUUUAUAUUUUCAUUUAAAAUCCUUUAGGUUAAGUUUAAGCUUUUUAAAAGUUAGUUUUGAGAAUUGUGACACAAUACUAAUACUGUAGGAAUUGGUGAGGCCUUGACUUCUUUGUACUGUGAUUUCCUUUUGGGUGUAUUUUGUUAAGUGAAACUUGUUAAAUUUUUUGUUAACUAAAUUUUUUUCUUAAAAUAAAGACUUUUUCACAAUGA